GCUAUUCUCAGUAGUAGACUGCUCAUAUUAACUAGCCAACUGUGCAAAUGCUGCUCACCAGAAAUGAUAGGAACACUUGGACGGGUCGGACACGGAGAAGAGCAAAGCCGCGGUGGACUAUUUGGCGUUUGGCUGACCGGUGGGAGAACUUUGCUGAGAGCAGCGCCUACGGCCUCGCCGUGCUCGUCUGCCUCCUCGGCCACAUCCUACCUCUCCGCCAUCCAGCUAUACACAUCAACUAGCCUCACCAUCUCCAGGUCAUCACAUGGUUCUAGUACUGAACAUUUUCUUACUGCAAACUUCAGAAUUCGAUUCAGAAUCGACCACUGGUUUGUUGAUCCUUGCCUGCAAACUCAUGUGCAGGAGGUGCGCGGGGAGCGAAACGGAUUCCAGGAGCAGCGUUGGCAGCGAGAGGUUUGUAGGGCCAGCAUGCAAGUGUUGGCUAGUCAUCGAAGCCUGAAUUUCCAGUACAGGGAGUGGGACUGACCUUACGGAAGAGUGCCCCUGUCUAUCUCAUAAGAUACCCGUGGUUGCGGUUUAUGGCUCGGCAUCGACAUCGCCGGUGGAUGCACCCCUGGAGCCAGGCUUCCACUUGUCUCUCGCGCCGAAGUAGACCGGUGGUGAUCACUCUUGGCAGCGGAUGAGGGGCGCUGCUGGUGUCGCCAGAGAGAGCACUGACGUCCUCGCGUCCUGCUGCUUGGCAUCAACUAUGGCGAUGAGAGGGAUAUUGGUUCCAGCUCUUGUGGCAGUGGCCUGAUUGCAAGUUCAAAGACGGGAACUUGAGAAGGCAGUCUUGGGUGAGGUCAUUUCCCUUGAGAUUUGGUUCUUGCACUCAUUACAGAGUUGGCUAAACUAGCUGGCCUAUCAAUUUGUGGAUACAGAGGAAUUUCAGAGGUUACAAGAUCUGAAACAGCUUGGUGAAUGGUCUUACAUCUCUGGUGUAUCCAGGAGUUGUCCACACGCGCUGUGAACAUUCGUUAGGUGUUUAUGAGCUAGUGGGGAGGCAAUGCAAAAUCUUCAAAUGAAUAAGGGAAAAGUGCUCGGCAUUCACCGUGUUGAUAUGCAUUUCUUCAAUCAACAUCUUGCGACUGCUGCUCUCCGACAAUGUCCACUCACAGCAGUGUAUGAACUGACCACAACAACCUCGUCAGGGAUGGCUCCCCCGCGUCUACAACACCAUCCA